rnacentral:rRNA from 1 species
GACGAACGCUGGCGGCGUGCUUAACACAUGCAAGUCGAACGGUAAGGCCCUUCGGGGUACACGAGUGGCGAACGGGUGAGUAACACGUGGGUGAUCUGCCCUGCACUUCGGGAUAAGCCUGGGAAACUGGGUCUAAUACCGGAUAGGACCACUGCCUGCAUGGGUGGUGGUGGAAAGCUUUUGCGGUGUGGGAUGGGCCCGCGGCCUAUCAGCUUGUUGGUGGGGUGAUGGCCUACCAAGGCGACGACGGGUAGCCGGCCUGAGAGGGUGACCGGCAAGACUGGGACUGAGAUACGACCCAGACUCCUACGGGAGGCAGCAGUGGGGAAUAUUGCACAAUGGGCGCAAGCCUGAUGCAGCGACGCCGCGUGUGGGAUGGCGUCCUUCGGGUUGUAAACCUCUUUCAGCGCCGACGAAGCGCAAGUGACGGUAGGUGCAGAAGAAGGACCGGCCAACUACGUGCCAGCCGCCGCCGUAA